rnacentral:rRNA from 1 species
CUGGCUCAGAUUGAACGCUGGCGGCAGGCCUAACACAUGCAAGUCGAACGGUAGCACAGAGAGCUUGCUCUCGGGUGACGAGUGGCGGACGGGUGAGUAAUGUCUGGGAAACUGCCCGAUGGAGGGGGAUAACUACUGGAAACGGUAGCUAAUACCGCAUAACGUCGCAAGACCAAAGUGGGGGACCUUCGGGCCUCACACCAUCGGAUGUGCCCAGAUGGGAUUAGCUAGUAGGUGGGGUAAUGGCUCACCUAGGCGACGAUCCCUAGCUGGUCUGAGAGGAUGACCAGCCACACUGGAACUGAGACACGGUCCAGACUCCUACGGGAGGCAGCAGUGGGGAAUAUUGCACAAUGGGCGCAAGCCUGAUGCAGCCAUGCCGCGUGUAUGAAGAAGGCCUUCGGGUUGGAAAGUACUUUCAGCGGGGAGGAAGGCGGUG